rnacentral:rRNA from 1 species
UACGGAGGGUGCGAGCGUUGUCCGGAAUCACUGGGCGUAAAGGGCGCGUAGGCGGCUUCUCAAGCGUGUGGUGAAAGUCCGGGGCUCAACCCCGGAUCGGCCGUGCGGACUGGGGAGCUCGAGUUCUGUAGAGGCGGGUGGAAUUCCGGGUGUAGCGGUGGAAUGCGUAGAGAUCAGGAGGAACACCAAUGGCGAAGGCAGCACUCUGGGACGGUACUGACGCUGAGACGCGAAAGCGUGGGGAGCAAACAGG